CGCCGCCGUACGCGCUCGCUACAGCGGCGGUCGGCGAGGCUCUCUCUCUCUCUCUCUCUCUCUCUCUCUCUCUUCCCAUCCUCUCCCGUUCCCCUCUCUCUCUCUCUUUCUCUCCUCGUUCAGAUCGGCUUUAGGGUUUCUUGUGGUGGAGGCGCGAGAGGUGCUCGAGGUGGAGGGCUGCCGGCGGCGGCCACAGCGGCUUCCUCGACCUCGUUUGAUCCAGUUGGGUGGGGGCCGAAGUGGAGACCAGCGACGACCAUGGCAGCCCGCGCUGCGCGGCCAGGAGGAUCUCGCCGACCAGGGAAGCCCGUGGAGCGGCCAGGAGGGUCUCUCCGACGAGGACCCAUGCCUCUCGAAUUUGUGGAUCCAACGAUUAUGGUUUAGAGAUUUUGCUUUCCACCUUAGACCCAGUUUGGUUUUGGGGAUCUUAUGCCGUGCAACCUCCUUGGAGAAGGUGAGCUCAUGUUUUUCUUUGAUUUCUCUGUAGUGUUUCUGUACUUUAUUCAAUGGAUUAUGAUGUGCUACUCUUCUAUAUAGUUGUGUCAUAAUUUCCCAUUCUUAAUCUGAACAAUGAUAGACACAUCUUACUGGCAGCUACAAUAGUUGAAUUAGCUCAGUCUUAUGUUUUGACUAGCAUAGUAAUAACUGAAGUAAUGAAGUUGCCAUUCUCUUGCCAUGCUCCUCGAAUCUCAGGAAAAGAAUAGCUCCAGUCCACUGUUUUAUGUUGCAAGCUGUACACUACAGUGCUUGAUGUCUUUCCUCCUCCAAUCUUUGGCAUCCAUAUUGCAACGGUUUCUCCUUUCCUCAUUGCGUGCGUACAUGGGGAUUUAUGUCUAACCUUUUGCUCCCUUUCUCUCAUGUUAGAUCCCAACACAUGAAGAUAUAAUAGUAGACCGUGAGGUAUAUUGUCUAUCUCAUGGAAGAUUAUAGAGUAUCUAAUCAGUUUGUGUUUUGCUUAAGAUAAAUUGCAAGAUUUUUUUAGUAAUAAAUUAUCAUUUGCCAGAUCUCUAAUAAAAAAAUCUAUCUGUAUUACUUCAAAUUAUGGAUUCUUUAAAUAAGAUGGUAUUUCUCUCAAAAAUUGAGUUAAUAAAUGUGCAUGUGUACCAAGUUGAGAUUACAAAUUGCUACUGUAGAAAUCAGGUUCAUCACCCAUUUGUCCUGUUGGUCUUUUGAGUGAAGUAAUCAUACUUCUGGAAACCAUUUAAAUGGUAGUCUGAAAAGUACAAAUGGACGAUUAUCAAUAGUUGAGAUUGUCUGAUUAAUUAUAAUUUGGUCCAGCCAGUAUCCCAUUUAUUAUUUUUUGGGUCAGCUUUGGCUUGUUCUGAAUUUCUGAUGAUAGUUAUCUUCUAUUGUAUUUGGCCUUGCCUGACGUGCAAGGUGAGCCAGAGGACAUAUCUAAAGAGGAAGAGAGAAUAUAUGCAUUUUAGGUAUCUCUAUGCUUAUUAAUACUAGAGAUGUGGAGACUAAGGCUAUUUAACUUUAUUUAUCAGGGCAUAGCGGAUCAUGGAGGUCAUGAAUAGGCCUGCAUCCGCGAUGCUAAAAAGGAUCAAGCACUCCGACAUGAGCACUGACAAUGGCCUUGACGGCGACCAUGCAGCGUCUGCUUCAUUGAUUAACAACUAGAUGCAGCCCAAGCUCACAUAGUCCUAACAUUUAUCAUCAUGCCCUGCAUUUUCCUAACCUCUGUAUGUAAAAAUAUACACGCACUAAAUUAUUGAUAAUGUGAUUUUUGGUUCACAAUUACAUACUAAAAAAGAAAACAAAAUUACUGAUAAGUGUGCUUUUCCUAUGACCUCUGAUCAUUCUGAAGCUAUUGUUCUCACAAGUGAAAUGAUGACAUGAGAGGUUAUUUAACACAUGUUUUUUAGGUAUGAUGUGCUACUCUUCUAUAUAGUUGUGUCAUAAUUUCCCAUUCUUAAUCUGAGCAAUGAUAGACACAUCCUACUGGCAGCUACAAUAGUUGAAUUAGCUCACUCUUAUGUUUUGACUAGCAUAGUAAUAACUGAAGUAAUGAAGUUGCCAUUCUCUUGCCAUGCUCCUCGAAUCUCAGGAAAAGAAUAGCUCCAGUCCACUGUUUUAUGUUGCAAGCUGUACACUACAAUGCUUGAUGUCUUUCCUCCUCCAAUCUUUGGCAUCCAUAUUGCAACGGUUUCUCCUUUCCUCAGUGCGUGCGUACAUAGGGAUUUAUGUCUAACCUUUUGCUCCCUUUCUCUCAUGUUAGAUCCCAACACAUGAAGAUAUAAUAGUAGACCAUGAGGUAUAUUGUCUAUCUCAUGGAAGAUUAUAGAGUAUCUAAUCAGUUUGUGUUUUGCUUAAGAUAAAUUGCAAGAUUUUUUUAGUAAUAAAUUAUCAUUUUCCAUCUUUGAUAUAGUUGGAUCUCUAAUAAAAAAAAUCUAUCUGUAUUACUUCAAAUUAUGGAUUCUUUAAAUAAGAUGGUAUUUCUCUCAAAAAUUGAGUUAAUAAAUGUGCAUGUGUACCAAGUUGAGAUUACGAAUUGCUACUGUAGAAAUCAGGCUCAUUACCCAUUUGUCCUGUUGGUCUUUUGAGUUAAGUAAUCAUACUUCUGGAAACCAUAUAAAUGGUAGUCUGAAAAGUACAAAUGGACGAUUAUCAAUAGUUGUGAUUGUCUGAUUAUCCCAUUUAUUAUUUUUUGGGUCAACUUUGGCUUGUUCUGAAUUUCUGAUGAUAGUUAUCUUCUAUUGAAUUUGGCCGUGCCUGACGUGCAAGGUGAGCCAGAGGACAUAUCUAAAGAGGAAGAGAGAAUAUAUGCAUUUUAGGUAUCUCUAUGUUUAUUAAUACUAGAGAUGUGGAGACUAAGGCUAUUUAACUUUAUUUAUCAGGGCAUAGCGGAUCAUGGAGGUCAUGCAUAGGCCUGCAUCCACGAUGCUAAAAAGGAUCAAGCACUCCGACAUGAGCACUGACAAUGGCCUUGACGGCGACCAUGCAGCGUCUGCUUCAUUGAUUAACAACUAGGUGCAGCCCAAGCUCACAUAGUCCUAACAUUUAUCAUCAUGUCCUACAUUUGCCUAACCUCUGCAUGUAAAAAUAUACACGCACUAAAUUAUUGAUAAUGUGAUUUUUUGUUCACAAUUACAUACUAAAAAAGAAAACAAAAUUACUGAUAAGGGUGCUUUUCCUAUGACCUCUGAUCAUUCUGAAGCUAUUGUUCUCACAAGUGAAAUGAUGACAUGAGAGGUUAUUUAACACAUGUUUCUUAGGUACGGACGGCCACAAACAAAAUCCAUGAGAAAUCUAUGAUGUCCGUUGUAAAGCAUUUGUUGUUAUGCCUGAACUUCCAUCUACCUACUUUUGAAAGUAGUUUAUAUGCAGUUUGCAGUUUUUAUGCCUGUAUAGCUGAAUCUCUGCCCAUUCUUCGAAUAUUCGACAUGAUUUGUUUUUUUAUUACUCUCCAAAUGUUUUUGCAACUUAGCUUUGGUUUUCAUUUAUAAAUUGCCUACUCCAUACCUUUGUUAUUUGUGGACUAAGUGAAUGUCUAAUGCAGUGACUUGUCAGUUCUGGAAUCUCCAGGUGCUGAAACUCAAUUAAAUGAAUCUAAAAAGGCAUCGACACGUUCUAGCAAAGAAUUGAACUUAGAAGGGAUCAGAUCAAUGGUGGAAAUGGUGGCACAAAAGAACACUCAAUGGCGUCUCCUUUUGCAUGAUGUUUUGUUUAUAAGCAUUGCCAUACAUAUCUUAUUUGAACCUUGGGGCUCUAAAGGCCUAAUAUAUGUAUUUAUUUGUGAACAAAGGGGGUGCCAAAGAUGUAGUAUCAGCAAAUAACUGUAAAUGCAAGAGAUGGGACAAAUUGAGGGAGCUAUUGGCUGAAUGGACACCCUACAUGGCUACGAGCUUCCAAACAGAAAUGUCCCUACAACAAUUUGUUUGUUGUUUGCAUGGACUUAAGAUAUCUCAUUCACAUAUUUAAAUGAUUUUAAGAGAGGUACAUAAGCAAUUGAAGAGGAAGAGGACUUCCAAUGGCCGAACGAUUGCUGCCGCGAACAAGGAAGCUCAUGUUUCUGGGUGCCGCCAGGAGCUCCAGAAGGAGGUUUCUGGCCAGUUGAUGUAGCUUGAUGGCGGCAACCUCUCAAGCAAAGAGAUGAUUGUCUGCUUGUUGGAGGAGAGCACUCUUGGACUAACAAAGUUGGUGGAUCAGACAUUUGAGAAGUUGGAGGA